rnacentral:ncRNA from 2 species
UAAACAUGCUAGGGGAGCCUUUAAUAAGGCUGAGAGUCUCCUCCACCUGUCCCCCUUUUCUGGGGACAGAUUUGAAAUCUGUCCCCACAGGGGGACAGGGGGAGGGGAGACCCUAACAACCUGAUCUGGAUAAUACCAGCGUAGGGAAGCGGCAAAAAAUAGCG